GUGAAAGGAAAACCUGGUCUUUGCUCUGCGGAUAUCUUAUCCUAGAUCCCUAUUAAAAGGCAGGGUGACAGCACAAUCUGUACAGCUUUGUAUUGUCCACAACACUAAAGACACUGCAGGCCAAACCGUCUCAUUAUCUCCCCUUCUCCCCUGCUGCCUCACAACCAUGAUGAGCAAGAGGAGUGACAAAAGAAUGUAGGACUCCACAUGACACAACCUUCAGGGAAGAUAAGCAAUUGCCCAACACCACCCUCCAGGAUCCAUCUAAGAGGAAAGAACAGAACCUCUGUAGUGUGAUUCCAUCUACGCCUGCCAGGAUUCAUGGGCAACUCAUUAAAACCUCAUGGUCAGUGAUAUCAAAGGCUGCUGACAGCUCUAAAAGACCCAGCAUGUAUGGAUGAUAGUCUGUCGUGAGGAUGAUAUCAACUAUCAGUCAGAUUAGCCAGUCUCUGUCUGUUUCCCAAAUAGUCUUUCUUCAUUGUUACAAGGUAAAAUUACCUAUGCACUGAACAACACAGAUACAGCAGGUUUCUCAGCCACUGGUAAAAUGAUCUCAGCUACUUUUAGAACUGUUCACCAGAACUUGGUGGAGCGGAGGGGAGAGAGACACACUUUUGUAUAUUUUAAAAUUUGACAUCAGCAUCAAGAUAUAUUCAAUUAAGGUGUCAUGUCUCAUCUCAAGUGGAAAAACAAAGAAAGAAAAAUGGUUCAAAUUAUCUUAAAGGAAUAAAAAGUGAUAUCAUGCGACAUAAAUGGAGAAUCCAGAAAUCCAGCAUUGCAGCACAGACCUGACAAAUGUUCCAGCAUUUCAUCUGAGUUCUUCUCCGAGUUCAAUUCAGUGUCUUGGCCGGAUACUAAGCAGCAGAGCUUCAGAUGCAGAGAAUGCAAUGGGCAGAGAAAGGCGUGUCUGCCCCUUCUUUUUACAGGCCUGCUCCCUUUUGAGAAGCAUUUCCAGCUGGGACCAAGGCAACAGGCAGUCUGCCUGGAAGGAAACUCCAUGUUGUUUCUUUACUAAAUGUAGAAUAUUUUUUGACCCUGCUCUCUUUCCUGCCAAAACAAAGAAUGGCCACCUAGCAGGUAACAGUCAAUCAGCCUUGUUAAUACCUGGCUGAGGCAUCAGCUUGCCCUUUGUCUCUGAGGAAAUGGUCUGGCUAGUCUCCAGAUUUACCUGAAAAACACACUUUUAGUCAUGAGCUCGUCUUAUGUUUAUAACUUCACAUAUAACUCUGCUAUGUGCAUUUUGCCAUGAUAUUACUGAUCAGCUAAUUAUGGGUUUUUAAAUGAUAUCUCACAAGGCAUACCUGGUAUAAACAUUGUUAGAACAGCGUGUAGGAUGUGAACACAGGGAUAUAUUAUGACACAAGUUCCCAAGGAAAUGUAUAAAAGAUCUCCUUGACAAAGUAUUAAUCUGACUACAAGUCCAUGCCUCUGCAAAUUUAGGGCCUGAGACAAAGUGCAUUGAAGUCCUUGGAAAGACUCCCAUUGGCUUCGUUAGGCUUUGGAUCAAAAGGAUCUCGGAGAACUUACAAAAAGGUUGACUGUAAAAUGCAGCAUUUGGUUGUAAAACCUAUCCAGUAUUUUUCUAUAUCAAGCUGAAAAGGAUGGCUUCAUAUUCUAAGCAUCAGGUUUGUAAUACCCAGACUCCCCUAUAACCAUAGCUAUAAAUCCAUACGGUGCCGACUCUAACUUUCAUCCUUCAGAGGCAGACAAAUUGAAUAUGAUGCUGUUUCCUCUAUGUGAGUUUUCCAGAAACCACCUUAUAAUGGAGAACAUAUUGUAUCUGCUCUACGUGGAUCUAAAAGAUGCCACUGCACAAGAAUUACGGUACACAUACUACAGCAAUAUUGUAUACACUUUUCAAGCUACUGCAGUGUCAUUUCUGCCACCAUUCUUUAAUUGUAUAUCAUUGAUUCCUUUGCUGGGCAAGUAAAAUAAAAUAUUCAGGACUAGUCAAAUUAAAACAAAAUUUAAAAAAAUCAAUCACAAAUUUACCUUGGUAGUAUUCACUAACCCUUGAGGGAGCAAAAUUUUCUUUGCAAGGAGAGUUGGCUGAGAAAGUGUUGUGAUUUCUCUUGUAAAUAGUACUCAGAGAGGUCUAUUUCCUCAUUAAAUGGAUUGAUUUCCCCCAAGAAUGGGUAAGCAUGUUUUUCACUUUCCUUCCUAUUAAAAUGGAGAAACUGGUUUGCUCAGACUUUUCAAACAAACUCACCUCUAGAAAAAAAAAAACAGCCCAAAAGGUGAUUUAAGAAAGUUAAAAGCAACAAGACAGGAACUAGAAUGAAAACAGCUACCUAAUGCAACCAUAACUCUUUCUACCACUCCUGCUUUAAUGCAAAACAUCAGGUUUUAGAACACUAAUCUUAUGAGGUUUUAGAAUAGUAAUCUUAUGUGAAUGCUAUUCCUGGCUUUGCGAGUUGAUAC